rnacentral:lncRNA from 1 species
UCAAUGUGAUAUCAUUAAGUUGUGUUAAAAUUCUAAGUUUGGGGUAAACCCCAUAAGUAUCGAAAACCAAGGUGAGUGCGGAAAAAAAAAUAAGAAAAAAAGACCAUCAAGAAAAAGAAAAGAAAGAGAAAAACAAAAUGUAGACGAUGGUUCGGAAAAAAGGCACUCACUGAAAGAAGAACACUCGGUUGAAAAAAAAGUGAG